ACCAUUUUCCUCCUCCAGACACAAUGAAUCUGGCUGAGACAAACCCAUAAACUGCCCUUAGGUGUGAAUGUGAGUGGUUGUUUCUGCCACCUCUUAUUGAUGAUGAGUGACUUUUUGUUAUAUUACUAAAUCAUUUUACAUCCUAAGGUAUAUCCAUCCUGCAUGUCUUUGGACAGCGGGAGAAGCCGGAGCACCCGGAGAGAACCCGCAAACUCUUGACCUGGGACGACCAAGGUUCUGGGUGGUGUAAGUGAUGGCUGCUCCAGUGGCCGUUCCUCCGCUCAUGUAGGGGAUCCUCUUCAGAGCUUUGACGGCAUCGUCUUUGUUAGAGUGGUCAAACAGGCCGAACUCCAGCUGCUGAUCAUAGCUGACCGAUGCGAGAGCCCACGUCUGAGACGUCGAAACUUCUGGCGAUUCCAGCCACGAAGUCCAGGACCAGCUGGAAGUUUCCAUCUCCGACGCUGGAUGAGCCGUCGAUGAGGAAGCCGAUGUUCACAGAGUUGUAGC